rnacentral:rRNA from 1 species
AUGUGCCUGUGUUCAUAUGAUUGCAUACAUACAUCAGAUAACGUGCCCUUGUUUUUGAUGGGCAUGAGAGAACAGCACCGGUGGAAACGCCUGAGCAUUGCCUCUGUAUAUAUGUGUAUACUCUUGCUAAAUCACCACAAGCAUUGUUGCUUUGGGGAGAUGUGUAACGACGACAGUGGUUUUCCUACCAUGCAUGCAUGCAUGCAUCUACCGGUGCUGCUUUGUGAUUCGUGCUAUAUUUUUGGUUUUGGGUAUAAUUUAUCUUAUUUCAGAGUGUUGCAUAAUGUUUCAGUAGUUUUAUUUUCUUGUUCCAAAGGGUAUCUUAAUGUUUCAUCGUGUAUCAUGCAAGGCUAA